UUAGGAAUCUUGCGCAAUGGGCGAAAGCCUGACGCAGCAACGCCGCGUGGGGGAUGAAGGCCCUCGGGUCGUAAACCCCUUUCAGUGGGGACGAAACUGACGGUACCCACAGAAGAAGUCCCGGCCAACUACGUGCCAGCAGCCGCGGUGACACGUAGGGGACGAGCGUUGUCCGGAUUUAUUGGGCGUAAAGGGCUCGUAGGCGGUUCGGCAAGUCGGGUGUGAAACCUCCAGGCUCAACCUGGAGUCGCCACCCGAAACUGCUGUGACUAGAGUCCGGUAGGGGAGCACGGAAUUCCUGGUGUAGCGGUGGAAUGCGCAGAUAUCAGGAGGAACACCAGUGGCGAAGGCGGUGCUCUGGGCCGGUACUGACGCUGAGGAGCGAAAGCAUGGGAAGCAAACAGGAUUAGAUACCCCCGUAGUCC
rnacentral:rRNA from 1 species